GUCAUAUGUCUCCGAAAGCGUUUGGUUACCCGGCGUUGAUCGAGGUGAGGAGGAGGUGGUUUCCGUGCGUCCGCAACACGCCGGAACUUACCAUUCGCAUCAGGAAGGGAGUGUGCGGUCCGUGGUGCCUGAUUUGAACCAGGUCGUAGAGGAGGCGGGACCAUCUUACGUGGCUCAAAGCUAUCCGCAACAGGAAAAACAUGCAUACGGGACUUACCAUUCCCAUCAGGAAAAACAACGCAAGCUGAAAAAGUCCGAGGAAGGUGCUUUUGACAUCGAGGAAGACGAGAACGAAAUCGAGAAAGGUGUUACACACUUCGAGGAAAGUGAUCAAGACGAGGAAGAUGGUGGUGGCUGGGACGAUGGUGGUGGCUGGGACGAUGGUGGUGGCGGGGACGAUGGUGGUGAAAAGGACGAUGGUGCUAAUGACCCGAAAAAACAAGGAAAGGUAUUUGCGACACUUCACGAGUUAAAGAAUUGGGCUUACAAAACAGAAAUUGCGAAAGGUUACGUCAUUGUGACCCAACGAACGGUAACAAAAGGUGAAGAUUCGUCAGCAAGGACAGUGAAGAUAUGGUUGCAAUGC